ensembl:lncRNA
UUCCCACAGCCACGCAGUGGCUACAUCGUAAAUAUUCAUGAGUUGUUUUGUUUUGUUUUCUGGUAUUAAUUUAAAGUUAGGUUUAAGGUUAGCAGUGUGGAAAAUGUAAGGAGCAAGAAAACGGCAACAAAACAGGAGUUUGUCUUUGAAGCAGUGGUCAAUGAUCAUGCACAAUGGCCGUGUCCGUUAUCUCAUCUUCUUCCAAUACCUCGGGACAAAGUACAGUGGCGUUAUGAAGGCGCCUCCACACCAAGCAGUCAAGGGUGUCCAGAACUACUUGGAGGUCCUGGAUGGCAGGAAGCUUGGCCCCAGUGAUGUACUGGGCCGUACCCACCUCCCAGUGAUGUACUGGGCCGUACCCACUACCCAGUGAUGUACUGGGCCGUACCCACUACCCUCUGCCUUACGUUCAGAUUAUUUUC